rnacentral:rRNA from 1 species
UACGGAGGAGGCAAGCGUUAUCCGGAAUUAUUGGGCGUAAAGCGUCCGCAGGUGGCACUUCAAGUCUGUCGUCAAAGACUGGGGCUUAACCCCGGAAAGGCGGUGGAAACUGAAGCGCUAGAGUGCGGUAGGGGUAGAGGGAAUUCCCGGUGUGGCGGUGAAAUGCGUAGAGAUCGGGAAGAACAUCGGUGGCGAAAGCGCUCUACUGGACCGCAACUGACACUCAGGGACGAAAGCUAGGGGAGCGAAUGGG